GAUGAACGCUGGCGGCGUGCCUAAUACAUGCAAGUCGAGCGAACAGACGAGGAGCUUUCUCCUCUGACUUUAUCGGCGGUCGUGUGUGUAACACGUGUAUAACCUACCUUUAUUACUGGUAUAACUUCGGGACACCUUAUCUAAUACCGGAUAAUAUAUUUAACCUCAUUGUUCAUUAGUUAUUUACGUUUUUUCUUUCUCUUAUAGAUGUAUCCGCGCCGCAUUAGCUAGUUGGUAAGGUAACGGCUUACCAAGGCUACGAUGCGUAGCCGAACUGAGAGGGUGAUCGGACACACUGGAACGGAGACACGGUACAGAGGCCGACGGGAGGCAGCAGAAGGGAAUAUUACGCAAUGGGCGAAAGCAUGACGGAGCAACGCCGCGUGAGAGAUGAAGGACUUCGGAUCGUAAAAAUCUGUUAUGAGGGAAGAAAAAAAGUGUAAGUAAAAAUGCACGUAUUGACGGUAACAAAUAAGAAAGCAACGGCUAACUACGUG
rnacentral:rRNA from 1 species